rnacentral:rRNA from 1 species
UACGAAGGGGGCUAGCGUUGCUCGGAAUCACUGGGCGUAAAGGGUGCGUAGGCGGGUUUUAAGUCAGAGGUGAAAUCCUGGAGCUCAACUCCAGAACUGCCUUUGAUACUGAAAGUCUUGAGUAUGGGAGAGGUGAGUGGAACUGCGAGUGUAGAGGUGAAAUUCGUAGAUAUUCGCAAGAACACCAGUGGCGAAGGCGGCCCCCUGGUCGGAUACUGACGCUGAGACGCGAAAGCGUGGGGAGCAAACAGG